CUUCCUUCCUUCUGUUCCUACCCCACUCCUUCCCUCCCUUCUCCCCUCCACUCCUUCCUCCUUCCUUUCUUUUUUCCUUUUUUCUUUUCUUUCUUAUUGAAUUCCGUUGAAGAGCCAGGUACUGGGCUAAACAUUUCAAUAGUGGACAAGAUCAUCUUGGUUUCUGCCCUCACAGAAUUUACAAACCAAUGGGAGAGACAGUAAAAAAACUGGGCACGUGGUAAGCCCUAUGCUAGGGAAGCAAUCGCGUGGUGUGGGGCACGCAGAAGAGGUACCUCACCCAGGCUUGGGGAUGUCUUAAGUGGCUCUGGGCUAUUGGAGUGGCAAAGUCUACGGCCUGCAGUGGCCAGGAAGAAGGGCCAGUGUCUGGAGAUGUUUCAGCUGGAAAGAUGGCCAAGCUCGAAUAAGCAGAUUUAUAUAAAUCUCAUUGUUUCCAUAUUAAUAAAAUGAGCCGCUGGGCACAGUGGCUCAUGCCUGUAAUCCCAGCACUUUGGGAGGCCAAGAUGGAUGGAUCAUGAGGUCAGGAGUUCAAGACCAGCCUGGCCAAGAUGGUGAAACCCCGUCUCAACUAAAAAUACAAAAAUUAGCUGGGCAUGGUGGUGGACGCCUGUAAUCCCAGCUACUUGGCAGCCUGAGGCAGGAGAAUCGCUUGUACUCGGGAGUUGGAGAUUGCAGCAAGCCGAGAUCACACCACUGCACUCCAGCCUGGGCGACAGAGUGAGACUCCAUCUCAGGAAAAAAAAAAAAUGAGCCGGGAUCUUUGAUGACUUUAUAUUUUACAUGGAGGCUGUUAUUAUGAUGCAAGGACUUGUUCUUUCGGCUCUAAGACCAGAAGGAAAAUAAAAUGGGAUAGUAUAUUAAAAUGCAAUGUGGGACAAAGCAGUGCUAUAUGUGACCAGUGAAAAUGUUUGCAGUUCUUUCUCUAUAAGAAGAUGAUUUUGCAUCCCAUAUUUGCUAAUACUGCACUCCACUGAGCCCAAUGAGAAGUUAUCAAUACUUUAUCAUAUGAAAGCGUGUUGAAAUUUCUCAUAUAUUGUCUGGUUCAGCCUUCAAAGCAGCCAUGUCAGGUUAAGCAGGGCAGUUAUGAUUUCUAUUUUUCAAAUGGUUCAGUGGCAUGUGUAGUGCACACAGAUAGUAAUGGGAACAGCUGCAUAUUCACACCUCCGUGGAAGUUUCCACGCCACACUGGGUGUCCUUUCACAUAAUUCCCCUCUGUUAUCAGCAUAAUCCAGAAAUGCCACAAAGUAACAUCCAUAACCCCCAAGCAACAUGAAAACGACAGCUACUGCUAAAAUCCAUUUGCAUUAAACCAGCACUAACAUGAAAUCCACACAUUUGAUUUUUUUUUCUUCAUGUCCCAGUGGAUAUCUCAGAAUAACAGGGCACUUCUGAUCUGGUUUCUAUGAAUUUCUUAUGAGCUACAACUGUGCUAUUCAAAGUGUGGUCCACAGAUCAGCAGCAGCAGCGUCACCUGGGACUGUGUCUGAAUGCAGAAGCUCAGGCUCCAGCCCAGACCCACUGAAUACAGAGCCUGUGUUUUCACGACAGCCCCGCAUGAUUCAUACGCAUGUAGUGAGUUGAGAGCCGCCGCGUCUACAACUCAUGCUUUCGCUCAGCCCUGCCUGUUGUAGGUAGUGAGUUUGUGGUUUAAAUCUAAGAAGAGGGGAGGAGAAGCGCACAGGCGGGACAUACCUGCGUGCUCACUUUCAGUAGGGACUGGAGGAGAAGACAGUUUGGAGACAGGGAAAAACCGUGGAAGACAGAACCUGGAGAAGAGUUGGGAACCUCAGAGGAGGUUGCAAAUAGCUGUCUGUGGACAUCUGGUUUGUGGUCUCAAGGAAACAGAGACAAUAUUGAUUUUUGAAACAAGAGGGGCUCCAAGUGCCUGUUAUUCGGGAGCACUUUGAGAAACACUGCAGGGCUCCUGAAGGAGGACAGAGUCAGGCUAACCAUCUCUAGAUGCAGUGACCUGCCAAAUGGGCUGUUGGGCUGGAAGAAAUGCAGAUUGCUUAUUGCUUCCAUUUAUCCCCGGGCUCCUCUCCUGUCAUCCUCCUUUCUCGGCUUCUGCAGUCCCAGCUCUGGGCAUGAGACUUACGGCUCCCUCGAUCCAGCAUCAGGACCUCCCCUCUAGUUGUACUAACUUGGCUCCCUCUUGAAGCUCAGAAUUUAUGCAACCAAAGCCCAGAUUCCUUCACUGGUGGGUCUGAAACCAACCCCCUCCUCUCCUGCUCUGCUCUUCCUGGCCUGCAUCUUCGCUUUGCAGGAGGUGCCAGACGUCAAAUUGCCCCACAUUCUGUGGCUUCGGGACCCAGGCAAACGUCCAUGAAGGAGAAACUUGUAACCACUGGGACGCGGGAUGAAUGCAGGGCCCUGGACUCUGUUGUGGGCAAAUACGUUGAGCGAUUUGAAAUGACUCUCCCGGGAGCUGGUUGUCAAAUUUUUGGUGUGUUCAGGAAAUGUCUGCCACAUUUUACAUCAACAUUUUCAAACGCUGCUUAAAACUCUACUCAAAUCCAACUUCCUCCCUGAAGCCGUCUGCCCAGCGGGGAUCAAUGUCUCCUUCUAGCUCCUGGUACAACUUCUGCAGUUAUAUUAUGUGAGGUUCUGCUUUCUCAUAUGCUGACUGCUGGCUUAGACACAUUCUCUUCGUUCAUCUUCCCACCACACCUGCACAAGAAGAAAUGGGAGCUCAGCUCCAUCAGCCUGCUGGAGGUCAGGCAGCUAUGACGGGGCAGGAGCAGUAUUUGAACUCAGGACUAUGUGCUCCGAAGCCUGUUCUUGUCUCUGUAUUAAUGGUUCUCAAAGUGUGGUCCUUGGACCAGCGGUAUCACCUGGGAACUUGUUAAAAAUAUAAGUUAUCAGGCCCUACUCCAGACGUAUGGAAACAAAAACUUCGUGGUUGAGGCCCAGAAAUCUGUAUUUUAACAGGCCCCUUGGGGAUUCUGGUGCAUGCUUAAGUUUGAGAACCACUCUUCCAUACCCAGCUUGCUUCUGAUGUAUGGUUCUGUGAUAUGUGUUAUCUUGGUCACUAGACUGUAAGCUACCUGAGGGCAGGACUUCUGCCUUAUUCACUUGGGAGCAAGACACUAUACUAGGUGCUGCUGUGGAAAUGUAACAAGAGUAACAGCGGACAUUUAUUGAGCUCUUCACGCCACAUGGCAUGCUAAACCUUCAUGUGGUUUAUAUUAUUGAAUUCUCAGAAUAACCCCUUGAGGUCAGCACUAUUAUUAUCUGCCGUUUACAGAUCAGGACACUGAAACUCAAGUGGGUGAAGCAGCUUGCUUAAAAUCCAAUGCCAUGCAUGAGGAAGCUGGGAUGUGAACCCAGAGGUUCUGACUCCAGAGCCCGUGCUCUUACCCAGCAGGCUGCCCUGUUCAGUGCAUGCUUCCCGAAUUGACUAUAACCAUCUGACCUCUUCCAUGCAUCACGUGAAGAAAAAGUCUCAACUGUAAAUAAGGGGAGAAAUGUACACAGAGCAGCUUGCGAGGAUAGAGAGGGCUUGGAUGUCUUUCUGAAAGGAAGCCAUCAUUUUCUUUCUUUUCUCUAGAGACAGGGUCUCGUUUCAUCACCCAGGCUGGAGUGCAGUGGUGCAAUCAUGGCUCACUGCAGCCUUGAACUCCUGGGCUCAAGCAAUCCUCCUGCCUCAGCCUCCCAAGUAGCUGGGACUGCAGGUGUAUGCCACCAUGCCCAGCUAAUUUUUUUUUGUUGUUUUUGUGGUGGGGUCUUGCUGUGUUGCCUAGACUGACCUCGAACUCCUGGCCUCAAGCAAUCCUUCUGCCUUGGCUUCCCAAAGUGCUGGGAUUAUAGGCAUGAGCCAUUGAGACUGGCCAGAAGGUAUCCUUUUUUUAGAGAAACUAAAAGCAUUCUCAAGCUCCCUUAAUUUCACUUCUGAUAGAUGAGUUAUCUUGACCUCCUGUUCAGGAUAGGGCCAAAUCUACUCAGUCCUGUUGUAUCCAGGGUACUUAAAUGUCUUGAAUUCCUGCACCAGAAGGUACAGUCUUCUGGGGAGUCACAGUAGGGGGUGAGGGGGCACAGGGGAGAGGAGGGUCUACAGGUUAGGACUCCAGCAGUGAUGCUUGAAUUUGAAUCAUGAUUGUGCUGCUUGAAAUCAAUGUCAUUUUAGAUAUAAGCUGCUUACACUUUCUGGAACUCGGUUUCUUCAACUGUAAAAUGGAAAUAAUGAUAAUAGCUGUUUUAUUUGUGCUGAGCAGGAAUGAGACUGUGGCUGGGAGAAUGCUUUAUAAAUCAAAAGGGAUGUCUGGAAAGUUCAGUGUUCUUUCCUGGACCAUUGGGAGUUGCAGCGUAGGGAGGUAUUGAGGAGGUGCCCACCAGUCUUGAUUUCUAACCUGAGAUUCUUUUUUUGUUUUGAGCUGGAGUUUCACUCUUGUUGUCCACAAUGGAGUACAGUGACACGGUCUCAGCUCACUGCAAUCUCCCGGGUUCAAGGAUUCUCUUGCUUCGGCCUCCCGAGUAGCUGGGAUUACAGGCACCCCCCACCACACCCAGCUAAUUUUUGUACUUUUAGUAGAGACGGGGUUUCACCAUGUUGGUCAGGCUGGUCUCAAACUCCUGACCUCAGGGGAUCCACCCACCUCAGCCUCCCAAAGUGCUGGGAUUACAGGCGUGAGCCACCAUGCCUGGCCCAACCUGAGAUUCUUUUCUGCCAGACUUCCUUCCUUAGAACACAAACAUGUGAUUUCUCAGUGCUUGCCAGAGAUGCAGACCUGUUCCUCUGAGGCUGGAAAUGACUUCACGGUACUUUUCAAACAGUAAUUAUCUACAGAAAAGCGCCCUGAGACCCUCGGAGACCAGGAGCCGAGAACCCCUUAUAAGGACACGAUGCUGUUUCUCAUCCCAACCCUCAAGAUAAGGGCGUUUCUCUGCCUGGAUUUGUAGAAUCCAAUUUGGAUGCCUGGAUUCUGGGUUUCCCCCAUGGAACAGACUCCUUCCCCCUCCUUCUCACCCAUCCCUCUUCAGGCACCAAAGCCCCUUCCAAAAUGUCUUCACCUUUCACAUGACACCAGCACUCAAAUCCACCAUUCCAAAUAAAUGAGAAAGAAACCCCUUUCCGCCAGGUUUUGCUUGUGCCCCGGCAACCCAAAGCUAGGAUACAGUUUCAUGGCAGGGCACAUGUGUGUGUAAUUGCUACCUGAGAGGAAGACCAGGAGAGCCUGCUCGAAAUGGGGUGUUAAUGAUAAGCACCACAAGAUUUGUUACUGUAGUGAAGCCCCAUCUGGAUGGACUACAUUAAGUUGCUUUUUAAUGUGGCCCUUUGAUGUGGCCCUUCAUAGAGUCCCUCCAGUGCUUGUUAGUUAGGGAGCAUCCCACGAUAGAAAAAAAAGCAAGAACAAAACCAUAAACGAGAACAAGAACCACCCCUUUUGCUCAGCUGAAACACUACAAUCAUGCUAGUUUACCCACCUGUCAGCUUCUUUCAGACCUGUGACCACAUCUAGGGAUAGGCUUCCUUAGAGGAAAGGAACUUGAAACUGUGUUUCUGGAUGCAUUGUUUUAAGCAUCAAUUAUUUUUUUUUUUUUUUUUUGAGAUGGAGUCUUGCUCUGUCGCCCAGGCUGUGGCACGAUCUCCGCUCACUGCAAGCUCUGCCUCCCAGGUUCACGCCAAUCUCCUGCCUCAGCCUCCUGAGUAGCUGGGACUACAGGCGCCCACCACCACACCCAGCUAAUUUUUUGUAGUUUUAGUAGAGACGGGGUUUCACCAUGUUAGCCAGGAUGGUCUCGAUCUGCUGAGCUCAUGAUCCGCCCGCCUCAGCCUCCCAAAGUGCUGGGAUUAUAGGCCUGAGCCACCAAGCCCGGCCCUUAAAUAUCAACUAUUGAGCAGUUAAUGAGGAAUCGGAAUAUCUAGCAUUUAGUCAGAAAUGUGAGGUUUGGAAAAGACUAACUUGAACAAAUUUCAGGAAGAUUUAUGAGUAGUAGCUUUUCCAUCUGUAAAAUAGGCUUCAUAAUACCUGUCCAAUCUCAUUUUAUCCUUCCAAAAAUGCUGGGCAUGGUGGCUCAUAUCUGUAAUCUCAGCACUUGGGGAGGCUGAGGUGAGAGGAUUGCUUGAGUCCAGGAGUUCAAGACCAGCCUGGGCAAUAUAGUAAUACUCUGUCUCUACACAAAAUUAAAAUGUUUUUCAGGCAUGGGGUGCACACCUCUAGUCCCAACUACUCAGGAGGCUAAAGUGAGAGGAUCACUAGAGCCCAGGAGGUUGAGGCUGCAGUGAGCUGUGAUGGUACCACUGCACUCCAGCCUGGGUGACAGAGCCAGACCCUGUCUCAAAAAAACAAAAACAAAAACAAACAAACAAACAAAAAGGGAAAGUAACCCAAAAGAAAAUAAAAGAAGAAAACUCUUUGAGGUGAUAUAUCCAUAGAAUGAUAGCAUUGAAAGAAACCAUAGUUAGAGUUUAGGUCCAACCACCUCAUUUUCUGAACCAGAAGACAGAAUCGCAAAAAAAACCAGAGCAUCCUGCCUGAGGACACAGAAUUGCUGAGUAGUAGGAGGAAGAAGAACCCAGAUUUUCCAGCUUUGAGAAGGAUGGUGGUUAGUUAGAAUUUUGGCUAAAACAGAGCCUUGCUAAUUCCUAAUCUCUCCUCUGCAAAUGACUUCAGUCUCAUUUUCCUAAGCAGCAGAGCCAUUUGGCUGGCACAAAGUGUGGCUGUGGCCCUGGCAUUCUCCACGGAAUGAGAAAUUUAUCCCACUUCUGUUCUCAUCCUACGUGCCAAGCAAACAAACCAUCUUGUUGACUGCAGACAUGGCCUCGGGAAUCCUAGCCAGCCAGAAAAACCAUUCCGUCUCUCUUGAUGAGGAAACCAGUGCUUGGAAUUCAAUAGAUGUAAUUUAAAUAGGCUGAAUCCAAAUAAAAUUCUACAUUUUCUUAGCUAUGACAUCUUACUUACUUUUUCUUUUAUGAAGACAUGCUGUAGAGUGAAUGUAUAUGUCCUCCUGAAAUUCACAUGUUAAACCUUAAUGCCCAAGAUGAUGGUGUUUGGAGGUGGGACUUUUAGGAGUAAAUUAGGUCAUGAGGAUGGAGCCCCUCAUGAAAAAAAUUAAUGUCCUUGUAGAAGAGGAUUGAAGGAGCUCACUCUUCCCUUCCACCAUGUGAAGACAAGCAAGAAGAUGGCCAUCUAUAAGAAGUGGGCAGUCCCCAACCACCAGAUCUGUCCAUGUCUUGAUCUUGGACUUCCCAGCCUCCAGCACUGUGAGAAAUAAAUGUUUAUCAUUUAUAAGUUACCCAGUGUAUGGUAUUUUUGUUACAGCAGCCCAAACAGACUAAGGCAAAACAGGACAAUUAGCUUGAUAAAACAGGGAAUAGUUGGAGCCUUCCAUUGUGGUUGGGACCUGUUUGAGUGUCUGCGUUCCUGUCAGAGAAAUGAUAGUUUUAAUCGUGUAGUCCUCCCAAAAAAGUAAAAUUGCGGGUCCAACUUUGGAAUUUACUUCAGCCAACUGACGUUGCACAAAUAAAUAAAUUUUCUUUCUCUCAUUUAAAAGCAAAAAGAGAUUUCUAGAAUGUUUGCGGUGUGUGGCAAAUGGGAGAUGUUAAUGUUUUCUAAAUGCUCUCAAGAAAGACCCGAUGUUCAUUGGUGUUCAUCUAUAUUCUGAG
rnacentral:lncRNA from 1 species